CUAAUGGAGUCUAAGGGUGGCAAGAAGUCUAGCAGUAGUCGUUCCAUGAUGUAUGAAGCUCCCCUUGGCUACAGCAUUGAGGACGUUCGACCUGCCGGAGGCGAGAAGAAGUUCCAGUCUGCUGCUUACUCCAACGUAAGAAUCAAUAAUCAUUGUUAUACUCUUCAUUCUACUUUUGUUGUUUCUGAUUUGUUGCUAACAUUGUCUUUUUCUACUGCAGUGCGCGAAGAAGCCAUCCUGAUAUCCCUUCCGUGCUUCCCCGUCCUAGUAGUUUAGGAUUUCUUUUCUAACGCUUUGAUUCUGACCAAUCUCUCUGGCCUGCUGCUUCCUGAUAAUCGACCAGUUCUCGAGUCUUGCUCCCUGCACUCCUCCCUCCAUCUCCAGCAUCGUUUUCUCACUCACCCGCUCCAAUGGCUGUUCUUUCUGCUGCUGACGCUCACCCGGUCUCAGCGAUCGGGUUUGAGGGCUAUGAGAAGCGCCUUGAGAUCACCUUCUCUGAGGCGCCUGUCUUUGUCGACCCUCAUGGGCGUGGUUUGCGUGCCCUUUCCAGGGCCCAGAUUGAUUCUGUUUUGGAUCUUGCACGGUGCACCAUCGUGUCCGAGCUCUCCAACAAGGAUUUUGACUCCUAUGUCCUCUCUGAGUCGAGCCUGUUUAUCUAUCCUCUGAAGAUUGUCAUCAAAACAUGUGGGACUACCAAGCUCCUGCUCACCAUUCCAAGGAUUAUUGAGCUUGCUGAAGAGCUGUCUAUGCCGCUUGCUGCUGUGAAGUACUCCCGUGGGAUGUUCAUCUUCCCCGGUGCACAGCCAGCCCCCCACAGGAGCUUCUCUGAGGAGGUUGCUGCCCUUAACCGCUACUUUGGUGGCCUGAAGUCUGGUGGUAAUGCUUAUGUGAUUGGAGAUCCUGCAAGACCUGGACAGAAGUGGCACAUCUACUAUGCCACCGAGUACCCAGAGCAACCCAUGGUUAACCUUGAGAUGUGCAUGACUGGUCUGGACAAGAAGAAAGCUUCAGUCUUUUUCAAGACUUCUGCUGAUGGCCACACAACGUGUGCCAAAGAAAUGACCAAGCUCUCUGGUAUCUCUGAAAUUAUUCCUGAGAUGGAGAUCUGUGAUUUUGACUUUGAACCCUGCGGCUACUCCAUGAACGCUAUCCAUGGCUCUGCUUUCUCCACCAUUCAUGUGACGCCUGAGGAUGGUUUCAGCUAUGCCAGCUAUGAAGUUAUGGGCUUCGACGCCACUGCACUUGCCUACGGCGACCUCGUGAAGAGGGUCCUCAGGUGCUUUGGCCCUUCGGAGUUCUCUGUUGCUGUGACUAUCUUUGGUGGGCGUGGCCAAGCCGCGACAUGGGGCAUGAAGCUUGAUGCUGAGGUUUACGACUGCAACAACAUGGUAGAGCAGGAGCUGCCCGGUGGUGUGCUUAUCUACCAGAGCUUUUCUGUUACUGAAGAUGCUAUUGUUGGCUCGCCCAAAUCUGUUCUUCAUUGCUUCGAGGGUGAGAACCUGGAGAAUGCUGCUCCUGUGAAGGACGGCAAACUGGCUAAUCUUCUCUGCUGGGAGGAAGAGGAUGCCAUGGAGGAGAAGGACGGCGUGCUUGCUGAGUAAGACUGGGGAAGGUGUCGAUUUGCUGCUGAGUUAUUUUUUUUUCUAAAUGUUGCGAUUGUCGUUUGGUUAUUGUGUGAAGCAGCCAAGCCAGGCUAUUUAUUAUGAAAAUGAUCGAUUGUAAGCAUGGGUUCUGAUGUGCCACAUGCUAAUGAUCAAUCUGAAUAAGUAUACCGCUCUAGGUGGUCAGCUGCGUCUACCACAAUGAGCAUACGUAUGGAGAAAUGUCUGUCAAAGCAAUUUAUGA
rnacentral:lncRNA from 1 species